rnacentral:lncRNA from 1 species
AACAGCGUCCAUAAUGGCUGAACUGGGCUCAAGUUUGGCCCACAAUGGGCACGAUCCAAUUGGGCCCAAAAUGGCUGAACUCGGCCCAUAUUUAGCCCACAAUGGGUACGGCCCAACAAGGCUUAAGAUGGUUGAACUAGGCCCAAGUUUGGCCUACAAUGGGUAUGGCCCAACAAGCCAAGAUGGAUGAACUAGGCCCAAGUUUGGCCCACAAUGGUCACGGCCCGAUAGGGCCCAAGAUGGAUGAACUGAGCCCUAGUUUAGCCCACAAUAGGCACGGCCCAACAGGGCCUAAUAUGGUUGAUAUGGGCCAAAGUUUGGCUCACAAUGGGCACGGCCCAAUAGGGCCCAAACUUGGCCCAACAAGUGAUCUUCAUCCCAAGAGAUAUUCAACAGGGAGGAAAGGAGUGGAAAGAGGGAAGAGUGAUCAAAGCAAAGAGGGGAGGAGAGGAUCCAGCUGCGACUGGCCUGGGUGGCCGACGGCCAACCGUCGGUGGUAGUAGUGGCUGCUGGUAGCUGCGACGGCCGGCGAGAAGAAGAAAACCGAGUGCGGAGACGAUGGAGCAGAGAAAGGAGGCUCAGUUUUGGGUCGGAAUAGGAAAAUAGAGGGGAGGAGACUUACCAACGAGCAACGGAGAGGAUGGAUCUAGGUAGCUAGUCCAGUAGUCAAGCAGUAGAUCUCGCGACGGCGGUGGCAACAACUCCUGAUGGAAAAUGGAUCUCAGAAUAGUGGAAGCGGGGGGAAAUCAAAGAAAAUCCAGAGAAAGAAUGGAGAACCAGGGUGGCGAAGCUCGAAUUCGGCGACAUGAUUGCCACCGGACAUGAGGAAGAAGGAAGGAAUGCUCGGUUGUGGAUUAACCACAGAGGAGGAGGGGUUUUAUAGAGAGGGUUUUCGAACGGCUUGGCUCGAUCACUGCCACGAUUCUUGCAACGGUCGAAUGGGAUCGGCGGCCGUUCAAGCAACCACGGGGUAGCCGCGGAACGGCAGCGACGCCUUCGCUCCCAGUCACGCCGAGGAAGAGGAUGGCGAUCGCGAUCUUCUAUCCCUCCUCUUCCUUGUCCAUGGGCUGAUGUCGGCUAGGCCUGCCGACUUCAGUCCAAUAAGGCCCAGUAAGGCUCUUUCAAGGCCUAUUAUUAUCGGUGUAAUUUUGAAUAUUAGGUAUGAAGAUAAUUUUUCGAGUUAGUUAGUUUAGUUACUAAUUGCCUUGUAAGGAAAGUAAUGUAAUACCUUUUUCUAGAUUUUUCAAC